rnacentral:rRNA from 1 species
AGGAUUAACGCUGGCGGCGUGCCUAACACAUGCAAGUCGAACGAGGUAGCAAUACCUAGUGGCAGACGGGUGAGUAACGCGUGGUCAACCUACCGUUGAGUGGGGGAUAACUAGCCGAAAGGUUAGCUAAUACCGCAUAACACUUACGAGUCAAAGCAGCAAUGCGCUUGGAGAGGAGUUCGCGGCAGAUUAGUUAGUUGGCGGGGUAAUGGCCCACCAAGACGAUGAUCUGUA